rnacentral:rRNA from 1 species
UGUGUAGGCGGCUUUGUAAGUUCUGUGUGAAAUCUCCCGGCUCAACUGGGAGGGUGCGCCGAAUACUGCAAGGCUUGAGUACUGGAGAGGAUAGCGGAAUUCCUGGUGUAGCGGUGAAAUGCGUAGAUAUCAGGAGGAACACCGGCGGUGUAGACGGCUAUCUGGACAGUAACUGACGCUGAGACACGAAAGCGUGGGAGCAAACA